CCGCGGCCGCCUCCGCCGCGCCGCCGGGAGGAGGUGCCCGAGGGGGGUGGGUGUCUCCGCCCGGCCCGGCCCCGCCGCGGCGCGGGGCGGGGGAGAGGGCGGCUCUGAGGCACAGGGGCGGGGGUGCCCGGAGCUGCCCGGCGGCGCCUGAGGCGGACGCUCGGCUGUCCCCGGCGCCUUGAGGGCUCGACGGGAGGAGGCGACGCUCGCUUCGUGGAGGAGCCCGGCCACGCACAGGUAUUCAAGAUGAUUCAGUAGUCUCAACGUGGAUCAGCUCAGAUCCCAACAGUUAAGCGUGAUAGCGGGGGACACUGUCUUCGUACCUGGAACGCCGGAAGAACCCGCACUGCCACAGAAGGAAAGGAACAGUUUAGCUGAAAGUUGCUGCCAAGGUACUACAACUGCAGAGGCAGUGAAUUCCUCCUUCACACAAAUAUACAGGCUGUAACCAUACUUCUGCCUGACAACUUGUCUUUUCUCUUUAAUGGAAGUGAGAAGACAUUUUACAUGAACAAAUGAAUGAGCCGAUCCUGUUCUCAUUAAAGCAUCGAAAGGUUGUUUAAAAUAGCUGUGUCACACACACAGAAGCACAGCUGCCUCUCAGGCAGCUGACUGAAAUUAGCAGCAAGCAGUGUGCAGUAGUUUGUGGAAGAAACAUCACACUCAGCUGAAACACCUACGACGAGAGAACAGUGUGUGGUGCCAGUGCUGGGUCAAGAAGAUGAACCCUGUUCUUUUCCACAGGAUAGUGAGACUACGUCCCUCUCUCCAGCUGAAUGACCUUUUACAGCACACCGUGAUCCUGAUGGCAGGAAAGGACCUACUGAAGCACUGGGGGAAUAAACAGCAUAGCCAACAGAAUAUGGAAUGGGAAGAUGUGCCACCUGCUGUAAAAUGCUGCAAACAUUCAAUGCCAUCUCAGACACCGCUGAGGUCAACAGCGAAAAAUGAAAUUGUUCAGCCUUCUUUAAAAAUGUAAGGCGUCCAUCCAACAGGAUCCCAAAGGAAACUGGCGACCUUAGAUUCUUCCCAAUGCCCACACCCCCCAUCCAAAUACUGCCUAUGUUAUUUUCCAGGGUAAACAAAGAAUUUCAAAACAGACUUGUUUAAAACCUUCCAGAUUUCAAAGAACUGUUACCAGGAAUCCUGUCACUAAUCUUCAAAGCUCUUCAAAUACAAAAACUUGAAUUUUCUUAGGUACUUCACUGUAAGUCCUUACCGCACAGGCCAAGAGAAGCACACACUGUGAGUAAGUGCUCCCAGAGGAUUAGAUCAGCUCAAGUACAAUACUACAGUAAACCCUGAAAUGUACUUUCAAGUAGCAACCAAAGAUCCAUUAAGAAGUGGCACAACUCCUUUGUACUUGUUUACUACUUUUCUGCCCUAAAGAACAGAGCAGAGAAGACUAAACCUAUGCCCCUGGGUUCUGCCAGACAGGUUACUGAAGGUGAUGAUUAUAAUCAUUAUGAGGAUUAUCAACGCUAUCAGAAUCUGUGUAAGAAAGCCACAUGCAUCUAAUCUUUCGUUGAAUAAAUCAAGCAAAACAAAAAAUUCCUUUCAAACACAUAGUCAUUCUGAUAACAGAGCUGCUGUUCAGCUUGUCUACCAUUUAAAAGGUACAUCUGAAAAUCAAAAUUGUAUUAUAAAAGCCAGAUUACUUAAUUUAAAAAUAAAAAGUGUGCACAGAACUACAGAAGUAUGACAUGAACCAUGCAUCAGUGUGAAUUUCAGUGUGACUGCAGUAAUACAAAUGAAUCAGCUCAUAUACUGAGCUGUGCUACGUGCUCAGCAGAGUCCUUCCAGAUAGAGGACACAUUCCAGUCAUUACUCUGUGGCUACUUACUCAGCUGUGAUUUAAUAAAAGAAUUUUAAUCAAGUUUGAGCUCAUUAUGCCAAAACCAGGUUAGCUUUUUCUGCAGCUAUGCAUGUUCCAUUUUAGCUUUCUCAUUGGCAAGCAAAACCUCUUUCUGCAGGUCAGAGGUAGGGGCAGAGUGAGGGGAUGCUCUUCCAGCUAUCACCAUCUCCUUAUAUUGGCAGAUGAAACAUGGACACUUAAAACCUAGGAGCUUUUCCUCUGCAAAUGAAGAGUGACAAAAACAAAUUCUUAAUUUCUCUUCACCCAUGCUCACAGUAUGAUUCAUUUUAUUCACUGGGACUGCUCCCUGAAAGUCUGUGGACAUGGUCUACUCUAACUACUUUCAAUUAGGUUUGAAUGUUCAAAAUCAUGUUCCAGAAUGCAUAUUCAGAUCACAAAAUAACAGCCCAAUGUCAAGAAUGCAGAGUGGGAGAUGCAAAUCCAAGACACUCCAACAUGCAAUUUACUGAUUCUUCUAUCCCCGUGGUAGGUGUGCCUUGUUACUCUACAGAAAACAGAAGCUCAGCCAUACAGUAUACUGAACAUGAACAUCUCUGAGCAUCAGUUCCUGUCAGAGGCUCAGCUUUUUAUUAUUUGAGUUAUGAUGACUUAGUAGCUAAUGUUUACCAUGAGUCCAACUCAGAGAAAAGCAGACAAUUGCUAUUCCUCAUGUCAAUUACAGAAACAGAUGAUUCUAACUGUUAACUUGAAUCCUGAUUUUCCCCACACAUCUUGCUUCAAUACAUACUAUAACCUAACUGGGUUUUCCUGGGGCCAAUCAGACUGCACAGGUGUUAAUCUACAGAAAUGUAACAUCGUAAACAAUUAAUAUAAUUUAAUUUAAAAUAAGCAUCUAUCAAGUGACAGUGCUGGGGAAAAAAAACACCUGAAUUCUCUCAUACCUUGGCAUAAAACUACAAUGUUAUUAUAAUUAAAACGUGUCUUCCAAUUUCAAACUGAAAUUCUGACUUUUAACCAAAUGAAUCAGUCCAGUUGCUCUAUCAAUUAGAAUUCUCUCUUAAUUACUUCUUGAAGAUACAUGAUAAUAACUGAAGUCCCACUGCCAAUUAUGAGCAUCUGCUGACUUACAGGAACAGAUUUACUCCCUCACAGCCCCAUAUUCAUAGCCAAAUGUAAGACAAUCCCCUUAGAGCUGCAGGAUUGGUGUGCAAUGUUUAACUACCUGCCCUUCCUGAGAGGCAGGCUCAGGUGGUGCUGCCUGCCCCGCACAGACACCGGUGACCCCGGCUGCACCUGCGUGUGCGAGGAACGCAACAGGGAGAGCUGGCCUGUGCUCUCAAAGCACAACAGGGAGAGCUGGCCUGUGCUCUCAAAGCAGUGUCACAUCCCUCCACGGAACCCUAUGGCACAGCUACCCCCACCCUACCUCACUGCAGCUUACAUUACACCCAAACACAACAGCUGAGGCAAGAAUAUGGGGCUGUGAGGGAGUAAAUUUCACCACUUAGGUCAAGCACUACUCAAGUGCUAGAAAAGGUAUCAAGACAUCUUACUGACUUUAUCUACAUCUGGAUCAGACCUUUGGAAAAGCGUGUGUAGAAAACAUGCUUCAUAAACCCACAUAUCUCCAAGAAGAGGAAGGUAAGAACUGACUGCCCGCAUUCAGGUAGGCACCUGCUGUUGACCAGUGUUGCAAAAACGUAACUACAGGUCUGACUCCAGAUGCACAAACAGCCUAUGAACUGUAGGUUUGGCUGCAUUUAGAAGAACCAGUCAGAUUCUGGAACAGCA